rnacentral:rRNA from 1 species
UACGUAGGGGGCAAGCGUUGUCCGGAAUCAUUGGGCGUAAAGCGCGCGUAGGCGGCCCUGUAAGUCCGUUGUGAAAGUCAAAGGCUCAACCUUUGAAAGCCGAUGGAUACUGCAGGGCUAGAGUCCGGAAGAGGCGAGUGGAAUUCCUGGUGUAGCGGUGGAAUGCGCAGAUAUCAGGAGGAACACCAAUAGCGAAGGCAGCUCGCUGGGACGGUACUGACGCUAAGGCGCGAAAGCGUGGGUAGCAAACAGG